rnacentral:lncRNA from 1 species
CCUGCCGCCUACCUACAACAGCAACAACUGCUUUCAUCUAGCCCUCUCGUUGUGGGUAAUGCACCUACAUACCUGCAACAACAAUUGCUGCAACAGAUUGUACCAGCUCUGACUCAGCUAGCUGUGGCAAACCCUGCUGCCUACUUGCAACAGCUGCUUCCAUUCAACCAACUGACUGUGUCGAACUCUGCUGCGUACCUACAACAGCGACAACAGUUACUUAAUCCACUAGCAGUGCCUAACCCAUUGGUCACUGCCUUCCUACAGCAGCAACAAUUGCUACCAUACAGCCAGUUCUCUUUGAUGAACCCUGCCUUGUCGUGGCAGCAACCCAUCGUUGGAGGUGCCAUCUUUUAGAUUACAUAUGAGAUGUAAUCGAUAAUGGUGCCCUCAUACCGGCAUGUGUUUCCUAGAAAUAAUCAAUAUAUUGAUUGACAUUUAUCUCGAUAUAUUUUUGAACUAUGUUCAUCAAAUAAAUAAUUGAAAACAUCAAAUCGUAAUUAUAAACUCAUGCUUGGUCAAUACAUAGACAAUACAAUAUUACUUCAUCAUCCCAAUGAUGUCCUAGCCCAACCUCUUGAAUGUUAUUGUUUGGGUGUGUGAGGGUGUAUAUAUAAGAUAGAUGUGACUAUUUGCGCUUUUUGUUGAGUACAUACAUAUAUGGUAUGUUGAUUUGAUAUAGUGAUGGACACAUGCUUUGACCAUGAAUAUUCAAAUCAGUUGUACUUGCACGAAGCAAAACAUAAUAUAAGUUUAGGAGUAAACUUAUAACUGUGUCCAAACAUGCUCACACAAAUUCAUACCACAUUAUAAUUUUUUGGUAAAUAUUCCACACAUGUAUUUUUUACAAGAAACUAAAUUUUGCACACAAAUGUAGCAUUGUAGACAUGUAUAAUUCUAUGAACCCGUGAACUUAACAACACCAAGGUCAUUAAAUCAACUGGACCCUAUGAGUAACAAUUUCGAUAUGGCAAACACCAAAUUAUUGAACUUAUUGGCUGAAAAUUAUGACCAACGUAAAGUUUAAAUUAUUAUACGAUAAAUAUAUCAAAGAAUUUUUUUUGAGGGACGUAAAAAUUGCAUGGAAUCGGCUGCCUAACGUGCUAGCUCACUUUUAUGCUAGGUAGCAUUACUAAAGAUGGGAAUGUUGCUGAUGAACGCCAAACCCACUCAAAUAAUAUUUAUAUUUGGGUUGUUUAGUUGUAAAAGUGAAGAACCAAGAUUAAAGUACCAAUUGGCCAAUGCCAUUCGAUUGUUUUGUUCAGAGAGCACUUGGUGCGUCACUUGGACUCGUAUCUUAGUCCAAUAGAUUGCAUUUUCCUUCAAUGUGUAGAAUCCGACAAAGUGCAUGUUCUAAAAUUGUAAAUCUAACUAAAUUAGAAAGCUUGUUACUAAUUCGAUGGUUUAUUAGGUGUAGGUCAUAAAACUAGAACCAACAUAGCCUGCACUCACAUGUCAUAGAAAAUAGAAGUAUGCAAGCACAAUUUAUGUGAGCAUCUAUGACACAAAUCAUAUGUUGACUGAUACAAUUAAUUCCUUCAAAAAUUAAAAAGGAAACCCAUAAAGUGUUUUUUAUACUGCUGGAUAUCUUCUUUAGCUAAUCAUGAGUACUAAAAGUAUGUUGCACUUUUGGGUGGGGAGAAUUCCCCAUUCAUAACUUUGACAUAAUUUUAAUUCAGAUCACAUAUAUAUAUCAUAUCUUAAUUAUUAUAUUAAUAUGGUAUGCAUCAUUGGAUUAUUAAAUCAAUUCGGUAUAACCAUCGGAUCUUAAUUAAUAAAUUAAUCUAAAGCGUACAUCAGAUUAUCAAACCAAAUCAACCCGACAUAACCCUCGAAUGUUCCGCUAUGCACCGUAAGUGCUUUGUCUGGGGCUUAAUCAUCCGGAAUAACCAUCCGAUCUUCCGGUAAGCACAAUAAGCGUAUGGUUCGGGGCUUCGUCAUCCGGAAUAACCAUCAGAUUUUCUGGUAUGCACUGAAAGCCUAUGAUCCGGUGUUUUGAUAGGCGAAACGUUGUUAGGUGAUUGUGAAUGCUAGCUGUAACUGUGUUUGGAUCUGCUGAGUGGAAGCUGCUGGGUCCUCCUCUACUGCGUGUGGCUUGUGGCGGGCUUGGACUGCUCUCAUGGCUUCGGCGCUUGGAGUUACUCGUCCGUCUGGUCAUGCGUGCGUCUCUCUCUCCUGGCUAGAGGCGUGGUGGCCUGGCGGCUUCUCUAUGUUUUUCUUUUUGUAGCGGCUGCUUGUGUUAGCUAGGGUUGGCGUCAGGGGCCCGGUCAGCUAUGCUCCCUCAGCUUUUAUAGGCAGCGCAGCACAGUAGGCAGAGCAGAGAUAAAGAUUCCAACUGAUCGAAUCCAUCUACAAACUAAGCUCUCGGAGGAAGGGGUAAAAGCAUGCAGCGCAAUUGCUUUUAUGUGUGACGGAUAUGUUUGACAGUUCUUCAACUGUGUUUGAUUUGGAACUAUAUCAUUGUUGAUGUCAAAGGCUAUGUUAAUGUCGAACUAUGAUGAUAUUAUGUGAAUGUUGAACUAUGAAGAUUUUAUGUGUGAUGCAUGUUGGAACUAUAUGUUGAUGUUAAAGACUUGUUGCGAUGUGUUUGUGAAUGUGAGUUGAUAUUUGAGAAUGUGAAUGCGAACGUGAAUUGAUGUUUGUGAAUGUAAUUGUGAAUGUGAAAGUGUGGUAAUUGCCGACGACUCUUUUGCGGCCGUCGGACAUAAGCUAUUUCUGACGGCCCGUCAGAAAUAACCUUAUUUCCGACCCGUUGCGAUCGAGGGACACAGGUGUCGUCGGACAUAAGACUUUGUCCGUCGGAUCUGAUGGUUUAGGAUUUAUUUCCGACGGCUUUGGCCGUCGAAAAUUUUAUCUUUUACUGUUGUGGGGUCCACAUGAACCUUAUCAAUUGUCACCGCCAUCUACCCCCACCUUUCGCUGUCUCGCGGUCCAUUUGCACGCCCUAAACGUGGUGUGACUUUUCAUGAGAGAAUUGGGAGCGACGACUAUGUAGUAGCUCGAACCUGCUAACGAAUUAUAUAUAUAAUCAUAUGGUAUCCACAACUUUUUUAUUCUUUGCGAAAUUGUACCCAGAACUUAACGCGCCCAUUUCGUUUCCGCUUUUAGAGAGACCUCUCUUGACUAGCUAGUGUUCAUACUUCACUUCAUAGUUCAUAGUGCAUAGCACUAUACAGCAGUCUUCCUCUUCUAAGCAGCCAUGGCUAGCACGACCUCUACAGCAGUCCUCCUCGUCUCAACCGCCAUCCUCGUCGCCGCAGCGACCUACUUCCGCCACGGCACGCUCAGCGGCGGCGGCGGCACCGCCGGAACGCACCUCCAUUUCUUCAUGCACGACCAGUACACCGGCGCGAACCCGACGGCCGCGCUCAUCGUGCCCGGAAGGCCGCCGCUCUCCAACGCCACCGCCACCGCCACCGCCACCGGCAGCGGCGAUGACGACGAGCACCCGCGCCGGUUCGGCGACAUCGCCGUGAUGAACAACGCGCUCACGGAGGGGCCCGGGCGCGGCAGCGCGCGCGUCGGCACCGCGCAGGGGUUCACGGUGCGCGUGGCGGAGCGCGGCUCCGUCAACGCGCUGAGCAUGCACCUGGUGCUGGAGGCCGGGGAGCACGCGGGCAGCUCGCUGGUGGUCAGCGGCAGGGUCGACACCGACCUGGCCGUGCGCGAGUCGGUGGUCGUCGGCGGCACCGGCCGGUUCCGCCUCGCGCGGGGCUACGCGCUCAGCAGGAGCUACGACUACGACCUGGCCAAGGGAGGCGUCGUGGAGGUCGAUGUGUACCUGCAGUAGGUUCGCAUGGCAUAUUGGCAUGCAUCGCUCGUUCCUUACCUCUGUACUGCUAUUUGAUCGGUUUUUAUGUUCACUAUCCUGCAGUUUCCCAGAUUUCAAAUUUAUGUUUACAAGAACUGGGACUAGCUAUGAGCUGAAAACUUGGUCCAGUAAUAACAAGGACUUUGGUUUGGCUAUACUUGGUUUUGUAUGUUUCUUUCGUGGGUGUACUGUAAAUUAAUCCUGUUUCACGGCCGUUUAAGGUAAGGUUUUUCUUUUGUUUUACUGUAAAUUUUCAUUAUAAAAACAGAACGAAAAGAUUCAUUUGUGAAUAUGAACACUUAUCCUAGCUAGCGAUUCUUAGCCAACUCCGGGAGACGCGGGCCAGAAAGCAAACUGAUGAUAGGUGAAGUUGAAGGUACAAACCAGUAAUGAUGAUAGGUGAAGUUGUAAGGGGCUCUAUUCUAAAACUAAUAUUUAGAAGCUAAAAUCAGCUGAGAGAUUUAGAACAAAUCAGCUAGUUAAUAGACUAGCUAAUUGUUAGUUAUACCCUCUCAAUCCAUCUAAUAACUUAUUAGCUGAUUAACAAUUAGUUUUAGAGGUUUGAAAUAUGACCUUAUUCUACUAGCUCCAUCUACAUGUUACUAUGAAAAGUCAUGAAUUCACAAGACGUUUUCGAAAACAAUUUCAGCUCCACUUGUAAAGUUGAUUGUGCGGCUGAAGCCAAGAAAACAUUAGAGGACAAACAAUAACUUACUAUGCUUUUCGUGAACUGUUUCAGGCCAGCAGUAAUAAUUAUUGGUCCUACAUGCAUUAAUGGUUAAGCCGCUAGCUUGCCAAGACGGAGCAUUAAUUAGGAGAUAAGACCUAGCGUUUCAUUGCAUCCCCAUGAAAGGGAUACUAUCACUAGUUCACUACUGCAUGAAUAAUUUUCAAAUGUAGUUAAAAACUGAUAUUGAAAUGUAGGUAAUCUGUCCACCUAUGUGAAAUGUUUAACAGAGGCAGCCACUCUAGGAUGUUGCCCUCGAUCUAUUAAUUACUGAUAGAUGCAGCCAUCCAACUCUAGCCACCUGUUGGCGUCUUUUUGGCCAAAUACUGAUGAACCCUAGAGUCUACAAGCGACGUGCAGUGCGUUGAGUUCCUAUCUACGAGCUGAUGGACUGUUCGGCCCUAGUGGUCGGACUACUGUCCGCGGUUGGCAGGCAGACUAUUCGCAGCGGACUGUACCUAGAUCCCACCUCCCCGAAGUGACCCUAUCGGGAAGGAGGGAUUAUAGAAUUGCUUUGGGAUCGGCAGACCAUCUAAAAGCACAUCAAGUUAAGGUAGAGACGAAGAUUGGAGAUUGGGAAGCUACAAUUAGGGCUAAACUAUGUCUAAUCUAAGAACAUGAAUGUAAAUAAGGUAAAACUAUUAUUUGGGUUCGAUUGAUUGUUGUUCCAAUCGGCCAUAACCCCUAAUAGGGGGAGGUCUAGACCCUUUCCUAGGUAGAGUCCAACAAAAUCCAUGAAUAAUCGAUUGAAUCUCGCAAAAAAUCAUGACCCGAACAUGUUUUGAUCUAUUCCCAAAUUGGUUGGGCUAACACACUAGACUAUCUUGCGCCGAACAGUCUGGGCUUCUACGCCAGACAGUCUAGAGGGUGCCAGUUUAGGUUCUCAACACAUGCCCCCAACCUUUUUGGCGGAGUUUUACGAGACAAAAGCACCUAGCACACCUUGUAUACUUCGACAAUUAAGACAUGCACAUGUCAAUUCAUAUUAUUCCGAAGUAAAGACUCAAUGUGAAAACAUCGACCUUCUAGGUGUCUUGCUAAACACUAGGAUAGUAUCGUUUUAACAAACGACCAUUUAAUGCUUUAGUUAGCUUCUCACCUUGCAAAGUCUCCAAUAUAUAUGCAUUACCAGAAAUUACCUAUACAAUCGUAUAAGGCCCUUUCGAACUUGGGGACCAUUUGCCAAACUUUCGAUCUUUGGUCUUUAAUGGCAAGAAUGUCUUCCAUAACAAAUCUCUAUCUUGAAAUUAUUUAGCCUUUACCUUCUUAUUGUAGGCCUUGGCAACUGCAAGUUUGUCCUUUUCUAUCUCCUUUAGAGCUAUCAACCUUUUACCGAUUACAUCAUCAAUAUUAUCCAUCAUUAGGUUAUGAUAUUCACCUAUUGCUAAGUCAUUUUAUUUUGUGAACAUAAUGGCAUUCAAACUUAUCUCCAAAGGCAAAAGAACUUCCUGGCCGUAUACAAGCUCGGAAGGAGUCACCUUAGUAGCAUUGUGCUUAGAUAUCCUAUGAGCCCAUAAAGCUUCGGAUAAAACCUUAUGUCAAUGUCUAGGAUAAUUAAAUAUCUUCUUUUUUAUAAGGCUAAUCAAUAUCUUAUUACUUGACUCGGGCUGAGCAUAGUAUGAAGAUGAAUUGUGCAACUUAAUCUUAAAAGAUUUAACAAUUUCAUGCACCUUUUUGUCGGACAUAAAAGAAGUUCCCUGGACCAUAGUUAAAGUUUGUGAAAUACCAAAUCUAAGAAUAACAUGUUCAGUUAUAAACUCAAUUACCUCCUAGUGUUUCAUUUUUCCAAAACAAAGGCUUCAGUCCAUUUAGGGCCCGUUCGGUUGUUAUGGAAUGGAGUACCGGAACUGUUUCAAGCCGGAUUGCUUCUCUAAUUUGUAUAAGUUUUGAUCAACAGGAAUAAUUCUUGGUGCGUUUCUGCAGAAACGAACAGGCCCUUAGUGAAGUAGUUUCACUACCGGAAUCCGAGCCUUUGCCGAGUGCCGGCCGCUUUGCCGAGUGCCUUUUCUCGGGCACUCGGCAAAUACGGCUUUGCCGAGUGGCGCACUCGGCAAAGCUCGGCUCUCGGUAACGAGCGUCUUUACCGAGCGUAGGACACUCGGUACAGGUCCACACUCGGUAAAUCCAUGUUUGCCGAGUGUCAAACACUCGGCACAUGGGGCUCUCGGCAAAGAGCCGUCAGCGGCCGUCCUAAAGCUGACGGCCGUCAGUCUUUGCCGAGCGCCAACGGUUGGCACUCGGCAAAGAGUCUUCUUUGCCGAGUGUCGCCCAGUUGACGCUCGGCAAAGAACUCUUUGCCGAGUGCCAUCCCUAGACACUCGGCAAAGUAUAUUUUUAUUUCUUUUAUUUUGUCUCCCAAACUUUUUGUGGUAUGUUCCUACACUAUGUAGACCUACAUGUAUCAUUUGUGGACAAUUUUAACAGAGUUUCAAUCGUUAGUAGAUUUAGUUCGUUUAUUUGAAUUUCUUCGGAAAAUUUAGAUUUGAACUGCAGGUCACUCGAAACUUGGAAAACCGUGCAUGAAAAAAUGAUAUUCAUGUUACUUAGCAUAAGUUACGACCGAUUCCAGGAGCGGACCAAAAACUUCGAGCAACAUGCUCACUAAACAUGGUCGUGAACUUGUCAUCAACAUGUUUAAAACUUGUAUAAAACACAAACAAAGUCAGAAAAUCUUGAAACUUGUCCACGUGUCAUGAUAUCAUAUGUACAGGCUGCGAUAAAAAAUUGAAAAAAUUUCGAGAAAACUAUGACGCGCUAUGUGUACAAACCUAAGAGAUCCACAUUGAAACUCUAUGAUUUCAUGUGUAGUUCUCUUAGGUUUCUACACAUAGUGUCUCACAACUUUGUCCAAACAUUCUCAAUUUUUUAUCACAACCUGUGCAUAUGAUAUCAUGACAUGUGGACAAGUUUCAUGAUUUUCUGACUUUGUUUGUGUUUUAUACAAUUUUUAAACAUGUGGAUGGCAAGUUCACGGCCAUGUUUAGUGAGCAGGUUGCUCGAAGUUUUCGGUCCGCUCAUGGAAUCGGUCGUAACUUAUGCUAAGUAACAUGAAUAUCAUUUUUUUCAUGCACGGUUUUCCAAGUUUCGAGUGACCUGCAGUUCAAAUUUGAAUUUUCCGAAGAAAUUCAAAUAAACAAACUAAAUCUACUAGCUAUUUCAAACUCUGUUAAAAUUGUCCACAAAUGAUACAUGUAGAUCUACAUAGUGUAGGAACAUACCACAAAAAGUUUGGGAGACAAAAUAAAAAAAAUACAAAUGCACUUUGCCGAGUGUCUAGGACUGACACUCGGCAAAGACUUCUUUGCCGAGUGCUAGAUGUGUGGCACUCGGCAAAGAGGUAGUAAAGAACCUUUGCCGAGUGCCGCAACGGGGGACACUCGGCAAAGAACUCUUUGCCGAGUGCCGCUGAUCUGGCACUCGGCAAAGAAUAUUUUAAAAUUUUAAAAAAAUCUUUGCCGAGUGCCGGAUCACGGGCACUCGGCAAAGAAACUAACUUUAACCGGCCGCGCGGCCGGCUUUCUUCUUCCUUCUGCUUUGCUUCUUCUUUCUUCUUCCUUCCCGCGCCUCACCGCCGCCGCCUUCCCACGCCUCACCGCCGGCCGCCUCACCGCCGCCCGCCUCACCGCCGCCGGCCUCCCCACGCCUCACCGCCGGCCGCGCCCGGCCGCCCGCGCCCCACCGCCCGCGCCCCACCGCCACCGUUCGCCCGCCUCACCGCCGCCCACGCGCCGUCGUCCGCCCGCUCGCCUCCGGUACGUAAGUUUAUCACAUGUUUAUUAGUGGCAGCCCAUAAUUAGCUUAAAGCUAGGAGGCUCCUUGGCCUCGUGCGGUCGGAGCUCGAGGUGGAGGAGCCUGCAAGCGGCAGCGGGGCAAGGGGCAGGGGCAGGGGCAGCGGGGAGUAGCUUGUGAGACGGUGGUGGUGGUGGCAUACCAGGGUUGAGCGCGCGGGCGAACAGGAGCACCGAAGAGGAGCCUGCAGCGGUGGUGUUGGGGGCAUGAGGCAGCGUGAGGAGUUACGGAUUUCCCAUCGCAUGGGGAGACUGAUAUUUGCCAGCUCCUAGAUUAGGCUAGCCAGCUCGCUGAUCCGGCCUUCCCAACGGCGGUCCAGGUCGUCGUCCACCUCCAGGUCCGAUCCUGCCCCUUCUGCAGCCACCCGGGCAGCGUCCAGUGCGACAUCUUUCUCAAGGAACGUCGGCCGUUCGCCGUGGCUGCGGUUGGUAGGGUCCAGUGCGACAUCUUUCUCAAGGAACGGCGCGUAGGGGACGACGGCGGAGGGGAGAGGGAGGCGGUGGUGGUACUGGUGGUGCACGACGGGCGGGUCGGGUCGGCACCGCCAGUCGAUGAAAAGCCUGCCGCGCGCCGCCUCGCUGAUGCCGCGGCCGAAGGAGUCCGUGUCCCCGGCGUCGAGGCGCUUCUCCUUGACGAAGCGGCUCCAGCCCUUGGUCAUCACGUAGCUCUGGCUACUGUUCCAGUAGGAGUAGCGGUAGCGCCAGGGCUUCCCCGUGCGGUCCUCGAAGCUGAGCAGGAGGCCCUUCUCGUUCGCCGCCGCGUCCAGCGGGAAGUACUUCUCCGCGUGCUGCUUCGGGAUCACCAGCCGGUUCAGCUUCCCGACGUCGCUCGGCGUCACCACCUUGUCGAACAUGUGCUCCUUCUCCACCGUCGCAUGCUGCUGCUGGUGGUGCUGGUUGUGCUCAGCAGCCGCCCUCUCCUCUCCGCCGCCCGACCGGGUCGCGGGCGGGGGAGUGGUGAACUCCAUCGAUCUCCGAUCGACGACCGGCGAUCGGUUGAGAUCGAGGCAGCAAGUCGAACGUAGGCCGUAGACGCCGGCCGAUCGAUCGACGCUGCUGCCGCUACCGCCUCCGCGUUGAGACUUUGGCCGUAGCUGCCUCGAGUCUGGGUGUGUUGAGGCCCGGGAACGAUAGCUCUUUUGGCCGGGAGGUGCUGUCGAUUUUUUUUUGUAUUAAUAGACUUGUGUUUCUUUUUUACAGAGAAGAUACUUGUCUUCCUAGCCGCUGCGGGUCUGCCUGCACCGCGUCGCGUCGCCACUGCACCGACCCGCCACAGCCCCACUAGCCUGACUCCACCGCCACCCUAGGUAUAACCUCUAUUUCCGCAUCAUGGUCGUAGAUCACGUAACCCAGUUAGGCGUCUCCCGUUCGAAAGUGAUACGGUGUAGAUAUGCAGAUCUUUGCAUAUCUACAAAUGUAUCAGUUUCGAAUUGUCCACGUUUUUUGGACAGCCCGCGGUUGCGUAGAUGGUGUUAGUUUCCAUGGUCUACUCCGGUCCGAGAAAGAGUUUCGGCGUCACCUCCCUGUUGUUCUCCGGACAGUACACUCUCCCUGCCAGGACGUGUAUCCGGAGAACAGCGGGGAGGUGCUGCCGAAAUUCUAUCUCGGAUCGGAGUAGAGCAUGGAAACUAACUCCAUCUACGCAACCGCGGGUGGGAUUAGGACCUAUCCUCACCUAUUAGAAGGUAGGAACGUAGUGUACAUGCAUUACAUGUCUAUAUUAAACUAUACUCGGUUAUAUAUGUUAGAGGAUGGAGGACCAUGAGUGGAUGUACACGGGCCGCGUUCGACGUAAUGAUGUCACCCCAGAAUGGAUUAGGAAGACCGAUGCUUUCGUGGAACGGGCAUAUGGCGAAGCUGCUAAAGGAGCUAGCCUAGUCCCUUGUCCGUGCAGCAAAUGUGACAACCGGAAAAGAAAACCAAAGAAGGCCAUGGUAGAACAUAUUUGGAAGAAUGGAUUUACGCCGGACUAUACUCGGUGGAUCUUCCAUGGUGAAGCGCAUCGCACGAGAGAGGAGGUGGUGAGACAACGCGUCGAGGAUUACGAUGCUGAUGCCGGGGUAGCAGACAUGUUGAACGACUAUCACGAGGCACAGUUCGCCGAAGGACGUACGGAGGACGAGCCAGAGGCGACCGCAAAGGCAUUCUACGACAUGUUUGACGCGGCACAGAAACCCCUUCACGGCAAGACAAAGGUUUCUCAACUGGAUGCCAUUGGGCGUAUAAUGGCGUUGAAGUCGCAGUAUAGCAUGAGUCGAGACGCCUUCGAUGGUUUGUUGACAGUUAUUGGCAGCCUGCUUCCGGAGGAUCACGUUCUGCCAAAGAGCAUGUACGAGGCACAGAAACUCCUUCGUGCACUCAAGAUGACGUAUGAGCAGAUACAUGCUUGUCCGAAGGGCUGCGUCCUAUUUAGGAAAGAACACACUGAGGCAAAGUACUGUCCGAAGUGUAAAUCGUCUAGGUUCAUGGAGGUAGACUCUGGUGAUGGACAGAAGAAGCAGCUCGACAUCCCCGUGACAAUCCUACGCCACCUUCCGUUCAUACCGAGGAUCCAGCGUCUAUACAUGACAGAGGAAUCCGCGAAACAGAUGACAUGGCACAAAAAAGGCAAACGAUACAAUCCUGACAAGAUGGUUCACGCAUCCGAUGGUGAAGCAUGGACCCACUUUGAUGCCAUUCACCAUGAGAAAGCCAAAGAGGCUCGACAUGUUCGUGUUGCGCUGGCCACAGAUGGGUUCAGUCCCUAUGGAAUGACCGCUGCCCCAUACACAUGUUGGCCCGUGUUCGUUAUCCCCAUCAAUCUCCCCCCGGCGUAUGCUUUCAAAGACAGAACAUAUUCGUGUCGUUGAUAAUUCCUGGACACCCGGGGAAUAAAAUGGGCGUGUACAUGGAGCCUUUGAUUGAUGAAUUGGUCCGUGCUUGGGAGGAAGGGGUAUGGACGUACGACCGAGCUACGAAGACAAACUUCAAAAUGCAUGUUUGGUACCAGUACUCCAUGCAUGACUUUCCGGCGUAUGGGCUAUUUUGCGCCUGGUGUGUUCACGGUAAGUUCCCAUGCCCAGUUUGCAAGGAAGCUCUUAGGUUCAUUUGGUUGAAGAAGGGUGGCAAAUAUUCGUCAUUCGAUAAACAUCGACAAUUUCUCCCUCCUGACCAUGCAUUCCGACAAGACAUCAAGAACUUUACGAAAGGUGUCGUGGUGACAGACCGCCCACCUGCAAUGAUGACUGGUGCCGAAGUUCGCGAACAGAUAGAUGGUCUCGUGGCCAACCCAGAAGGUGGUUUUGUGGGAUAUGGUGAGCAACAUAUGUGGACACAUAAGUCGGGCUUGACUCGGCUCCCCUAUUAUGAUGACCUGCUCCUUCCACACAACAUUGACGUGAUGCACACUGAAAAGAAUGUCGCCGAGGCACUUUGGGCGACAAUUAUGGAGAUUCCUGAUAAGUCAAAGGAUAACGUAAAGGCAAGAGUGGAUCUGGCAGAGUUAUGUGAUAGACCAAACCAAGAGAUGAAGCCGCCUAGUGGUGGUAAGACAUGGAGAAGGCCUAAGGCCGAUUUCGUCCUGAGCAGGGCCCAGAGGAAGGAAGUACUACAGUGGAUCAAGAUGUUAAUGUUCCCUGAUGGGUAUGCAGCUAACCUUAGUAGGGGGGUGAACUUAUCUACUCUGCGAGUCUUAGGGAUGAAGAGUCAUGACAUCCACAUAUGGAUUGAACGAAUUCUUCCGGCGAUGGUUCGAGGCUAUGUCCCUGAGCAUGUCUGGCUAGCGCUUGCAGAGUUGAGCUAUUUCUUCCGCCAGCUUUGUGCAAAAGAGUUAGCUCGGACCAUGAUUGCAGACUUGGAAAGGAUGGCACCCGUGUUACUGUGUAAGCUGGAGAAGAUCUUUCCACCCGGCUUCUUCAAUCCGAUGCAGCAUUUGAUUAUUCAUCUCCCAUAUGAGGCACGAAUGGGGGGGCCCGUGCAGGGACGUUGGUGCUAUCCAAUCGAGAGAUGUCUAAAGAGUAUCCGAAAGAAAUGUAGAAAUAAAUGCAAAAUCGAGGCUUCCAUUGCAGAGGCAUACAUACUGGAGGAGGUGUCAAACUUCACAACAACUUACUAUGGUGACAAACUGCCGAGCGUGCAUAAUACACCCCCUCGUUACAAUGAUGGCGGCAAUGAAUCGAACCUCAGCAUUUUUCGAGGGCAACUCGGAAGCGCGAGUGGUUCGACCACCAAGACCCUGAGACAUGAAGAGUGGCGCCAUAUCAUGCUAUAUGUAUUGACCAACCUUGAAGAGGUGACGCCAUACAUGGAGCAAUUUCUUCAUGAAUUCUGGCGUCGAUCAAGGGACCCAACUCCACAGGAAUAUGAUACCCUUCUUAGAAAGGGUGCGGGAAAUGGAUUGCCCGAUUUCAUUUCCUGGUUUAAACAUAAGGUACGUGCUUAGUUUGUUAUUCCAAGUUGCUCUUACGUGCGAAUAAUAUAACAAUCUAGCGUGUUUGAACUUGCAGGGCCAAAGAGAGCCGUCUAUGAGUGCCGAGUUGAGACAAGUAGCCAAUGGCUUUGCCUAUAGGGUCAGGAAAUUUUCUGGGUAUGACAUCAAUGGAUACCGUUUUCGCACAACAAGCUACGACCAAAGUCGGCCCAAUUGAAAAACCACGUGUUCUGGAGUCUUUACGCCCGGGCUUGACGAGGUCGAGUAUUAUGGAAGAAUUGAAGAAAUAUAUGAACUCAAUUUUUAUGGUUCCAAACCUCUUACUCCAGUGAUAUUCAAAUGUCAUUGGUUUGACCCUGAAGUUACGAGACGGACACAUUCUAAUCUUGGGAUAGUCGAAAUUCGACAGGAUUCCACCUUAACAGGAGACGAUGUCUACAUUGUGGCCCAACAGGCCACACAAGUGUAUUAUCUUCCAUAUGCGUGCCAAACGAAACAACAUCUUAAGGGUUGGGAUGUUGUGUAUAAGGUAUCACCGCACGCUAAAUUACCUGUUCCAAACGAUGAAGAUUAUAACUUAGACCCGGACACAUAUGACGGAGAGUUCUUCCAAGAAGAUGGGCUCGAAGGGCAAUUUGAGAUAGACUUAACCGAAGCGAUCGGAAUGGAAGUAGAUAUUGAAAUGGUUGUUGAUGACGAGGAUGAUGAGGUGCAAAAUGAGAAUGACUUAGAAAUACUUGAAGGCAAUGCCAAUGACGAAGUUGCGCCUUCAGAUGAUGUUGACUAUGAAAUGGUUGAUAGUGAUGAUGACACUUAUGAUCCGGCUAACCCGGACACAUAUGAAGAUUAUUUUUAAUCGAUGUAAUGCUAUAUUUCAUUUAUUUUGCAUAUGUUUCUAAAUACAUAUUUUUUUAUCUGUGCUUAAUUGUUUACUCUUAAUUGCAGGUUGUUGGACAAAGAUGGUUGGCGGUGGGACGAGGACGAGGAGGGGGAGGGGGAGGGGGAGGAGGAGCACCCGUAGGACGGAGGAGGAGGCGCAGCAGGACGACGCCGUACAGCAGCAGGUGGAGCAGCAAGCCGCUGUCGAUGCGGCACAGCAGGACGACGACGAUGCGGCGCAGCAGGACGACGACGACGACGACGCCGCUCAGCAGGACGUCUCAGGUUCUGGCUCCUCAGGUUCGAGGAGUAUCUACCUGCGAGGUCCCGCGAGCCUACCUAAGCGACCCAUACUUCGUGACAGACGUCCGCUCAUACGACCCGAUGGAGAGAGGUAGGUAACUUUAGAUGUUGUUGCUGCUUUUUCAUAUUAUAUGUUCAAAUUAAUAAUAGAAACUAAUACUUCAUCUUAAUCACUUUCGACAGGUCUUGGAUGAUUUUGGAGACUGCAGGGGGUCACGGCCGCAACCCCAAUGGCAUCCUCGGCCUUCUAUGCCGGGAACACUUCCCUGGGCUUGUCGAGUACGCCGGAGUGACGAGCCCAGCAUACACCUUCGACCACUACGCUGUCGCCCCCGAUGCAGUAGAUCGGGACGGCAGACAAUUCAACAACAAGGCGGAGCGGGUCAAGCAAGAGCUGUGGGUAAGUCUUCCUCGCACUAUAUUGUUUAAUAAGUCGCAUUUGUUGCAUAUUCUUUAAAUAAUGUAUGGAUACAUCGUCUUUGUAUGUAGGAUUUCUUCAGGUGCGAUGCUGGAUACGAGGCCAGGGCGGAUGUGGUGUCUACGACGUGCUGUAAGAAGCUCGUCGUGGACAUGCACUACGAGGCGCGCAUCCAGGCCAUCGUCACUUACCACGGCUCCGUCCUUGGGGAGAAGGUGAACAAGAAGGACGCCCGAACCAUGUCAUUGACUGCGGACCAGUACUUGCAGGUAAAUACAAAACUUUAUUAUUGGUACUAAAUAUGCUUAUUCUUAUCUUCUGAUAUGCGGUGUACUUAUAUUUUUUUAGAUGAUUCCUCAUUGGUGCGCCGCGCAUCCUGAGUGCUGGGAGAAGAUGGUGCAGAGGUGGUGCUCGGCUGAGUGGGACGAGGCGCACAACGCUAGCCGGGAACGGCGUUUGCUGAUGCAAGGUCCCUCCCACCAUCAAGGCAGCCGCAGCCUGGGCAAAUACGCGGAAGCAUGGGUACGCGCUCUUUUUUAUUUAGGUAUAUAACUUUCGAUUAGACAUGAUUUCUAACCAUAUCGUUGGUUUUCUCGCAGUCGGCGGCACAUGGUGGCGCGCCUUGCUCCACGUUCUCGGCAUAUGCCAUGGCCCACAAGGGGAAGGCGACGUCCGACGUCACCUACAACCCGGAUGACGGGCCCGAGGCGUACACCAACCCCGCCAUCCACAGCCGACUCAGUGAGUACACCGCAAUGGCCAAGGAGGUCCAUGGGCCAGAUUACGAUCCGAGGACCGAGGACAUCGACGGAGAUGUCCUCAUGAGGGUCGGAGGAGGCAAGAGGCAUGGGCGGUACUGGAUUGCCGACGGGGCAAUCGACUCGUCCUCCACUCCCACUCUCUCUCAGGUGCGAGCAAGGAGCACGAGCGCGAGCCCAGCCAUACGACCUCGGCAGGACACCUCACAGCAUCGUAUCCAGCAACUCCAGGUUAUUCCUUAUCUAUUCACCGUUCAUUAAUUUUUAUAUAUCUUCUCUUUGCAUUAUCGUAACAUUAGGGCAAAAUAUUACAGACUCAGCUAGAUGAUGAGAGGAGGCAACGUGAGGAGCUGGAGAAGAGGAUGGCGGAGAUGUUCGCGUACAUGCAGAGCCUUGGCGCCGCACAGGGUCAUGCUCCACCACCUCCGUUGUUCCCUGCAACUGACCCUGCUGAGUUCACUACUCCUGUGAGUAUCAAAAUUUUAGUACCGCAUGAUAUAUAUUCAUAUGUUCUCACACAUACAAUCUAUUCUCUAUGAAGGGUCAAUCGGCGGCGUCGAACAACCCUCAUGCUUCGUCCAGCCCUUCGCCGAACCAGUCCAGAUGCCCACCUCGUUGAUGAUCCAGACUUGGUCUUGUGAGUGUUGGUGAUGUUUGGCUAGUGACACUUUGUGAUAUAUAUGUGACGGUUGGUGAUGUUUGGCUAGUGAUCCAGACUUGGUAAAUACACAUACUUAUAUUUGUGAGACUUAUAUUAGUGACACUUUGUGAUAUAUAUGGUGUUGAUGAUAAAUGUGUUCAUUCUGUGAUGCGAUUGAUAUAUAAUGUGAUGUGAAUGAUAUAUAUCUUUUGUUUGUUUGGAUGGAACAGCAAAAACAAAUAAAAAAGGGACAUCCUGGUCACUUUGCCGAGUGUAACACUCGGCAAAGGGUUCUUUGCCGAGUGCUAUGACCAUGGCACUCGGCAAAGAAGGCAACCUGGGAACCGGUAAAGCCGUCUUUGCCGAGUGCUGACAAUGGCACUCGGCAAAGAAGGCAACCUGGGAACCGGCAAAGACAUCUUUGCCGAGUGCUGAAAAUGGCACUCGGCAAAGAAGGAAACCUGGGAACCGGCAAAGAUGUCUUUGCCGAGUGCCACUGCCAAGGCACUCGGCAAAGGGACUGGCAAAGGGGCCCACUAGAGGGUUCUUUGCCGAGUGCCAGUUCACCAGACACUCGGCAAAUAAACCUCCUUUGCCGAGUGUCGCCGUGGGCACUCGGCGAAGGAUCCGUCACCGUCACUUGGCGCCGUGACGGUGACUUUUCUUUGCCGAGUGCCAAAUGGCACUCGGCAAAGUCUUUGCCGAGUGCCCGACAAAAAGUACUCGGCAAAGAUGCUGUUGCCGAUGUACAGUUCGCCGAGCGUUCUUUGCCGAGUGUUACACUCGGCAAAGCAUUUGCCGAGUGUAAAAUAGCCUUUGCCGUGUGUCUCAGACACACGGCAAAGAAGCUGAUUCCGGUAGUGUUUGGGGGGCGACUAACACAAAUCGAUGACCUUUGAUGAAGAUGGAUGUAUUUCUCCCACAAAAUCUUGGAUCCAUCCUCUACUAUGAAAAGUCAUGAAUUCACAAGACGUUUUCGAAAACAAUUUCAGCUUCACUUGUAAAGUUGCUUGUGCGGCUGAAGCCAAGAAAACAUUAGAGGACAAACAAUAACUUACUAUGCUUUUCGUGAACUGUUUCAGACCAGCAGUAAUAAUUAUUGGUCCUACAUGCAUUAAUGGAUAAGCGGCUAGCAUGCCAAGACGGAGCAUUAGUUAGGAGAUAAGACCUAGCGUUUCAUUGCAUCCCCAUGAAAGGAAUACUAUCACUACUGCAUGAAUAAUUUUCAAAUGUAUUAAAAACUGAUAUUGAAAUGUAGGUAAUCUGUCCGCCUAUGUGAAAUGUUUAACAGAGGCAGCCACUCUAGGAUGUUGCCUCUAUUAAUUACUCAUAGAUGCAGCCAUCCAACUCUAGGAUUUCAAUUAGUCUCAAUCUAUGCAUUCGUCUAUGCAUUCUAGGAUUACAAUUAGUCUCAAUCUUGUAGUAUUUGUUCCUUCCUUGUCAAAUCACUUCUCAUCUAACUACUAUGCUUGUUUAACCAUCAGAACAUAACUACAACAACAUCCAUUUAUAAAGGCUUCGAUAGCAAACUUUACAUAUUCAUAUCAUGUUAAGGUUGUCACAUGUGUAAAGGUGAAGAGAUCAUGCAUGUCAUUCCACGUAGAUAAAAAGAAUGCCUAUAUAAAAAUGGCACAUUUUCUUGUAGGUAGUGGAAAGUAUCUUUCCAGCAAAGACCAUAUAAUCCGAUAAAGCUGAUAACUAAAUGUCGAAAUCGAGUAGAUGCCAUAUCAUCUAUACCUUAUCUGUUGUUUGGAAAAAAAAAAGACAAAAUCCAAAAAAAAAUAUAAGAGAUCUCACCUAUAUAAAUAGCUCUGAAAUCAGUAGUUAAUCCAUCACCCAUAAUAUUUUGAGCAUUCAGAAACACACCAAGCGAAGCGCACUAGCAACGACCUAACAACAAUGGCUACCAAGAUAUUAGCCCUCCUUGCGCUUCUUGCCCUUUUUGUGAGCGCAACAAAUGCGUUCAUUAUUCCACAAUGCUCACUUGCUCCUAGUGCCAUUAUUCCACAGUUCCUCCCACCAGUUACUUCAAUGGGCUUCGAACACCUAGCUGUGCAAGCCAACAUGCAACAACAAGCGCUUGCGGCGAGCGUCUUACAACAACCAAUUGCCCAAUUGCAACAACAAUCCUUGCCACAUCUAACAAUACAAGCCAUCACAACGCAACAGCAACAACAGUUCCUACCAGCACUGAGCCACCUAGCCAUGGUGAACCCUGCCGCCUACUUGCAAGAGCAGCUGCUUGCAUCCAACCCACUUGCUCUGGCGAACGUAGUUGCAAACCAGCAACAACAACAGCUACAACAGUUUCUGCCAACGCUCAGUCAACUAGCCAUGGUGAACCCUGCCGCCUACGUACAACAACAACAACUGCUUUCAUCUAGCCCGCUCGCUGUGGGCAAUGCACCUACAUACCUGCAACAACAAUUGUUGCAACAGAUUGUACCAGCUCUGACUCAACUAGCUGUGGCAAACCCUGUUGCCUACUUGCAACAGCUGCUUCCAUUCAACCAACUGACUCUGUCGAACUCUGCUGCGUACCUACAACAGCGACAACAGUUACUUAAUCCAUUGGUAGUGGCUAACCCAUUGGUCGCCGCCUUCCUACAGCAGCAACAAUUGCUGCCAUACAACCAGUUCUCUUUGAUGAAUCCUGUCUUGUCGAGGCAGCAACCCAUCGUUGGAGGUGCCAUCUUUUAGAUUACAUAUGAGAUGUACUCGAUAAUGGUGCCCUCAUACCGACGUGUGUUUCCUAGAAAUAAUCAAUAUAUUGAUUGAGAUUUAUCUCGAUAUAUUUCUGAACUAUGUUCAUCAUAUAAAUAAUUGAAAACAUCAAAUCGUAAUUAUAAACUCAUGCUUGGUCAAUACAUAGACAAUGCGAUAUUACUUCAGCAUCCCAAUGAUGUCCUAGCCCAACCUCUUGAAUGUUACUGUUUUAAUGUGUGACGGUAUAUUUAUAAGAUAGACGUGACUAUUUGCGCUUUUUUGAGUACAUACAUAUAUGGUAUGUUGAUUUGAUAUAGUGAUGGACACAUGCUUAACCAUUAAUAUUCAAAUCAGUUGUACUUGCAUGGAGCAAAACAUAAUAUAAGUUUAGGAGUACACUUAUAACUGUGUCCAAACAUGCUCACACAAAUUCAUACCACAUUAUAAUGUUUUGGUAAAUAUUCCACACAUGUAUUUUUUACAACUCAAUUUUGCAGACAAAUGCAGCAUUGUAGACAUGUAGAAUUCUUUGAAGCCCGUGAACUAACAACACCAAGGUCAUUAAAUCAACCGGACCCUAUGAGUAACAAUUUCGAUAUUGCAAACACCAAAUUAUAGAACUUAUUGGCUGAAAAAAUUAUGAGCAAUGUGAAGUUUAAAUUAUUAUACCAUAAAUAUAUCAAAGAACUUUUUUUGAGGAACGUAAAAAUUGCAUGGAAUGGGCAGCCCAACAUGCUAGCUCACUUCUAUGCUAGGUAGCAUUACCAAAGAUGAAAAUGUUGCUGAUGAACGCCAAACCCACUCAAAUAAUAUUUAUAUUUGGGUUGUUUAGUUGUAAAAGUGAAGACCCAAGAUAAAAGUACCAAUUGUCCAAUGACAUUCAAUUAUUUUGUUCGGGGAGCACUUGGUGCGUCAUUUGGACUCAUAUCUUAGUCCAAUAGAUUGCAUUUUCCUUCAAUUUGUAGAAUCCGACAAAGUGCAUGUUCUAAAAUUGUAAAUCUAACUAAAUUAGAAAGCUUGUUACUAAUUUGAUGGUUUGUUAGGUGUAGCUCGUAAAACUAGAACCAACAUAGCUUGCACUCACAUGUCAAAGGAAAUUGGAGUAUCCAAGCACAAUUUGUGUGAGCAUCCAUGACACUGUUAUAAAUGAAUGCGACACAAAUAGGAUCAAUCACAGAGAAGACACGAAUUUAACGUGGAAAACCCCUCCAAAGUGAAGGGGAAAAAACCACGGGCGCCGGCCGGCAACUUCUCACUAUUUUUGGGUGGUUACAGAUCGCAGGAGAUUUACAAUUGAGAUAGAUAUCUCCUGCGGCUUACAAAGAUAUUUAUAGAGGUGAAACCCUAAAACGAUCGCCUCCCGGCGACGGGCCUCCGCUUCGCUCGCCAACUUGGCCGCCUUCUUCAGAAUUUGGAUCACAAACUCAACAAACUCCACCUUGAGACAAAUACCUUGUAGCAUCAUAAUAGCAACCUCCACCUUAAACAAAUGCAUCAUCAUCUUGCCGGCGCCAACAGCCACUAAGGGCUAAUUUAUAAUACCAACUAAGUUUGAGCAUAGCUCAAACUUAGCAACAGAAACAUGCUUCGUCAUCACAUCAGCUGGAUUAUUAUCAGUACUGAUCUUGCAUACCUUCACCAACCCUUUUUCAAUGAUAUCACGAAUGAAGUGAUAACGAAUAUCAAUAUGUUUGGAUUUCUCAGUAAUCAUCUGAUCUUUGGUGAGAUGAAUGGCACUCUGGCUAUCACAAUAGAUGGUAAUGCAAGACUUAAUUCCACAUAGCUCUGAAUAUAUACCUUUCAACCAUAAGGCUUCCUUAGUAACUUCUGCAAUUGCCAUAUAAUCAGCUUCUAUGGUAGACAAAGCAACAGUAUCCUGUAAACGAGCUUUCCAACUCACAGCACAAUCUCCAAUAGUAAAGACAUAACCUGAAAGAGAUCUCCUCCUGUCUAAAUCACCACCAUAAUCUGAAUCAACAUAGCUAAUCAGCCCAUCUCCAGAUUUACCAAAACAUAAACAAGCACUAGAAGAACCACGUAGAUAUCUGAAAAUCCACUGAACAGCUUUCCAAUGCUCUUUACCAAGAUUAGACAUGUAUCUAGCAACAACGCUCGUAGCAUGAGACAAAUCAGGACGAGAACAAACCAUAGCAUACAUGAGUGACCCAACAACACUAGAGUAUGGAACUUUUGACAUAUAUUCAAGCUCAGCAUCAGUUUCAGCACACUGUUUAGCAGACAGUUUAAAAUGAGGAGCCAACGGAGUACUCACAGGUUUAGUAUUUUGCAUGUUGAAACGACGAAGGACCUUCUCAAUAUAAUUCUUCUGGCUCAAGUACAGCAGUCCAGACUUCCUAUCCCUGACUAUCUCUAUGCCAAGGAUUUUCUUUGCAGCACCCAGAUCCUUCAUAUCAAAUUCGCUACUAAGUUGUGCCUUUAAAGCAGUGAUUUCCUUCAUGCUCUUGGCAGCAAUCAACAUAUCAUCAACAUAUAGCAGCAAAUAUGUAGGUGAUCCAUUAACAAAUUUUAGAUAAACACAACUAUCAUAUUGAGACUUCUGAAAGCCCUUAGAAAGCAUAAAUGAAUCAAACCUCUUAUACCAUUGUCUGGGAGAUUGUUUCAGACCAUAUAAGGACUUCUUCAAGCUGCACACAUAGUCUUCUUUUCCAGGAACAAUGAACCCCUCUGGCUGGUCCAUAUAAAUGUCUUCCUCCAAAUCACCAUGUAAGAAAGCAGUUUUCACAUCUAACUGUUCAAGCUCAUAGUCAUGUAUAGCAACAAGACUAAGAAAGGUACGAAUUGAACUAUGCUUGACAACAGGAGAAUAGACAUCAGAGUAAUCAAUUCCUGGAAUCUGACUAAAACCUUUUGCAACUAGCCUUGCUUUAAAGCGCGGAGGCUCUUUUGGAGUCAUACCUUCUUUUCUUUUGAAGAUCCAUUUGCACUUAAUUGCCUUUUUACCAGAAGGCAGCCGAGCUAGUUCCCAAGUGCCAUUCUUAUCAAGAGACUCCAUUUCUUCAUGCAUAGCACCCAUCCACUUUUCACUAUCAGUAGACAAUAUAGCUUCUGAAUAAUUCAAUGGUUCCUGAAUAUUAUCAACUUCUUCAGCAACAGCCAAAGCAAAAGCAACAUUGCACUCUUGAAUCAGUCUUUGGGGCCGAACUAUCUGCCUCCUAGUUCGGCCUUCAGCAAGAGACUGGGGAUGAGACUCCACAACAGGUGAUGAAAUUUCAGAAACAGAAUUUUCAGCAGGUUCAGCAGAUGGUGGAGCAUGAUCAUCAACAUCCCCCCCCCCCCCCGUGCUCCACCUGCACACUGAUAGACUCAGAAUUCUGGUUAGUAGCACUGGUAGAUACAACCGAAGGGAACAUAGCAGAUUCAUUGAACACAACGUUUCUACUAAAAAAUGCCUUCUGUGUAUCAGGAUUCCACAAUUUAUAUGCUUUAACACCAGAUCCAUAACCCAAGAAAACACACUUAAUUGCUCUAGGCUCAAGUUUACCAUUAUCAACAUGUGCAUAUGCAGUACAACCAAACACUCUCAACUGAGAAUAAUCAUAGGGGGAACCAGACCAAACCUCAAUUGGAGUUUUCUUAUCGAUAGCAGUGGAUGGUGAACAAUUGAUCAAAUGACAAGCAGUGGAAGCGGCCUCAGCCCAAAACUUUCGGCUCAAACCUAAGUUGGACAACAUACACCGAGCCUUGGAGAUUAUUGUUCUAUUCAUACGCUCUCCCACACCGUUCUGCUGAGGCGUAUAUGGUAUAGUGUGGUGCCUCACAAUGCCCUCCUUCCUGCAGAAAGAGUUAAAAUCACCAGAACAAAACUCCAUACCAUUGUCAGUUCUCAGAACCUUCAGCUUCCUCUCAGUCUGCUUCUCAACCAUAGUCUUCCAAACCUUGAAAGACUCAAAGGCAUCUGAUUUUUGCUUAAGAAAAUAAGGCCAAACUCUGCGUGAAUUAUCAUCAAUGAUAGUCAACAUGUAACGAGCACCACCAUGUGAAGGUAUACGUGACGGCCCCCACAAAUCAGCAUGAACAUAAUCAAGAAUAUUUUCUGUAUUAUGAACAGCAGAACUGAAUUUUACCCUUUUAUGCUUACCGAAAACACAGUGCUCACAAAAAUCAAGAGUAUCAGCAUGGCAACCAUCAAGAAGGCCUCUCUUGCUCAAUUCUGCCAAACCAGGUGCACUCAUAUGGCCAAGUCGCAUAUGCCAAAUUUUAGUAGUCUCAGAAUCAGAUGCAACAACAGCAUUAGCAGAGCCAGAACUACCUCGAAGCACAUAUAAGUUUUCAGCUUUCAAAUCACCUUUAAUAACCACAAGAGAGCCUUUUGUUACCUUUAUGACACCGUCACCGGCGGUAUACUUGUAGCCCUUUGUGUCCAGAGUACUCAGAGAGAUGAGGUUCCUGGACAUGGAUGGAACAUGUCGUACUUCAGUCAAUGUGCGUACAAUCCCAUCGAACAUCUUGAUCUGCAGGGUGCCCAUGCCAACAACAGUGCAAGGGGAAUUAUCACCCAUCCGAAGAGUACCUCCGUUCUGCACAGCUUCAUAGGUACUAAACAGAGAUUUUUUAGUGCAAACAUGAUACGAGCAAGCAGAAUCGAGGAUCCAUUGGGCAUCAUCAGCAGCACAACCAGCAAAGGCAAUAAGAACAUCACCAUUAUCAGAAUUAUUUUCGGAUGCAACAGAGACAGUACCUCCAGUCUUACCCUUCUCCUUGUUCCUCUUCUCCUUGUUCUGCAGUUUGUAACAGUUCUCAAUUACAUGGUUCGUCUUCUUGCAGUAUUUGCAAAAAAAUUCAUCAGAUGGCCCCCUUGACUUGGAGCGACCCCUCUGGUUCUUCCCCUUUCCUUUGCCACCUGAGUUGUACUUUUUCUGAUCAGUGCGGCCACGGACAUACAAAGCUUCUCCACUCGAGCCAGCAGCAUCUUCCGAGUUAACCAUCUGUCUCAUCUUUUCUUUCGCAGUCAAAGCUUCAUACACUUCAGCCACGGUUAGAGUAUCACGAUUGUAUAGGAUGGUAUCUCGAAAAUUGCUAAACGAUGCAGGGAGGGAACACAGGAGAAGAAGAGCUAGGUCUUCAUCAUCAAACUUUACCUCCAUAGACGUCAGAUCGGCCACGAUCUCCUUAAACACCGAUAUGUGCGUCAGAACGGAUCCUCCUUCCUGCAACUUGUGGGAGAACAACUUCAUUUUGACAUGCAUCUUGCUGGUCAGAUCCUUUGACAUACAGAUCGACUCCAGCUUCAACCAGAGAGCAGCGACAGUUUUCUCCGCCAGAACCUCCUGCAGAAUAUUGUUAGACAGAUGAAGGUGAAUAUGUGCGAGCGCCUUACGAUCCUUGCGCCUCUCCUCAUCAGUCCACGUCCUGGCAUCCUUGUUGCCAAAUCCAUCUAGGGCAUCAUCCAGGUCGCGAUCAGAUUGCGAGAGAAUUGCCCGCAUCUUCACCUGCCACAGCGAGAAACGCGUGUCGAGAUCCAGCAGUGGAAGAUCGUACUUCAUUGUCGUCGACAUCCGUGCGCCGGCAGGAAACCCUAGCACACCGAUCAACAAACAACCAAAGCUCCGAUACCACUUGUUAUAAAUGAAUGCGACACAAAUAGGAUCAAUCACAGAGAAGACACGAAUUUAACGUGGAAAACCCCUCCAAAGUGAAGGGGAAAAAACCACGGGCGCCGGCCGGCAACUUCUCACUAUUUUCGGGUGGUUAUAGAUCGCAGGAGAUUUACAAUUGAGAUAGAUAUCUCCUGCGGCUUACAAAGAUAUUUAUAGAGGUGAAACCCUAAAACGAUCGCCUCCCGGCGACGGCCUCCGCUUCGCUCGCCAACUUGGCCGCCUUCUUCAGAAUUUGGAUCACAAACUCAACAGACACAAAUUAUAUAUAGACUGAUAUAAUUAAUUCCUUCAAAAAUAAAAAAAGGAAAAAAUAAAUUGUUUUUUGAUACUGCAGGAUAUCUCUUUAGCUAAUGAGGAGUACUAAAAAUAUGUUGCACUUUUGGGUGGCAAGAAUUCCUCAAUCAUAACUUUGACAUAAUUUUAAUCCGGAUCACAUAUAUAUCAUCAUAUCUUAAUUAUUAAAUUAAUAUGGUUGCAUCAUCGUAUUAUUAAUUCAAUCCGAUAUAACCAUCAGAGCUUAAUUAUUUAAUUAAUCUAGAGCGUACAUUAGAUUAUCAAACCAAAUCAACCUGACAUAACCAUCGAAUGUUCCGCUAUGCACCUUAAGCGCAUGGUCUGGGGCUUAAUCAUCCGGAAUAACCAUCCAAUCUUCUGGUAAGCAUAGUAAGCGUAUGGUUCACGGCUUCGUCAUCCGGAAUAACCAUCAGAUUUUCCGGCAUGCAAUGAAAGCAAAUGAUUCGUGGUUUUUGUAGGGGAAACGUUGUUAGGUGAAUGCGGAUGCUGGCUGAUGUUGCACGUGCGAACUGUUGUGUGGAAGCUGCUAGGUCCUCCUCUAUUGUGUGUGGCUUGUGGCGGGCUUGGACUGCUCUCAUGGCUUCGGCGCUUGGAACUGCUCGUCCGUCUGGUCCUGCGUGCAUCUCUCUCUCUCUCCUGGCUGGAGGCGUGGUGGCCUGGCAGCUUCUCUGUGUUUUUCUUUUUACGACAGCUUCUCGUGUUAGCUAGGGUUAGCGUCAGGGGCCCGGUCAGCUAUGCUCCCUCAGCUUUUAUAGGCAUCGCACCACAGCAGGUAGAGCAGAGAUAAAGAUUCCAACCGCAUCCAUCUACAAACAAGGCUCUCGGCGGAAGGGAUAAAAGCAUGCAGCGCAAUUGCUGCUGCCGUGUUGUGGCCUUGACUCUCGUCAAUUGGAUGACCAAAAGAUGCCACCGUCGCAGCUGCCUGUUUGUCACCAACACAAAAUUGUAGGUGCCUGUUUGUCACCAAUUAUCCUCUACCACAAAGAACUACAAUAGUGAUGGAGGAUCCGAUCCUGCACAGAUACACUAUAAUGCAUAGUGGGUGAUGCAUGCCUAAUGGUGGUUGUUUAGUGUUAGUUUGGGCAUGUUGGAACUAAGCAAUUGUCGAUGCCAUACGCUAGAAGUGAAGAAUGUUGUUACCGUUAGGAGUAGAGGUGUCAAUGGGGUCUGAUACCCGUUAAGCCAUGGAGAAUUUAUCUAAUAGAUUUAGGGUAUGGGAAGAUUUUAAUUUCCAUUUGUUGAAGUUAGGUAUACAUCUAUUUGAAUCGACAGUUACAAUUCAAUGUUUGUCAUUAAAUAUUCCACACAUGUAUUUUUUACAAGAACCCAAAUUUUGUAGACAAAUGCAGCAUUGUAGACAUGUAGAAUUCUUUGAAGCCCGUGAACUUAACAACACCAAGGUCAUUAAAUCAACUGGACCCUAUGAGUAACAAUUUCGAUAUUGCAAACACCAAAUUAUAGAACUUAUUGGCUGAAAAGUUAUGAGCAAUGUGAAGUUUAAAUUAUUAUACCAUAAAUAUAUCAAAGAACUUUUUUGAGGAACGUAAAAUUGCAUGGAAUGGGCUACCCAACGUGCAAGCUCACUUCUAUGCUAGGUAGCAUUACCAAAGAUAGGAAUGUUGCUGAUGAACGCCAAACUGAAAGUUCCCUUUGCUCGGGAACAGGAUCUGGAUGUCGCCUAGAGGGGGGUGAAUAGGCGAAUAAUAAUUAUCACUUUGAAGACUUAAAUUCUUACUCUACUUGAAGACCAGAUCGUAGUGGAAUGAAAGACCCUUCGAGUCGGUUGCAGCGGAAUAGAAGAUCCUGUCUCAAAAUGCCCUGCACUUCAAAUAUAACUUGAACCACAGAUAAGUAUUGAAGUGUAGAUAUAAAGAGUAGAUAAGACAGAGGAUCAACACACAACACAGAGCAGAGCACAUAGACGCAGGAUUUUAUCCCGAGGUUCGGCCAAGCCUGAGAUGCUUGCCUAGUCCUCGUUGGAGUUAGCCACACCUGGGCUUGGAGUCUAUUUCAACUCCUUCCUCCGUUUGCUCAGAUCUAUCAGUAUGACAGAUAGAGCCUUUCACUAUGUUGAGUUCGGUUACAACAACGCCGUGGCUGCUUACAGUCUUCUUGACAGCACUCCGGUAGAGUAACAAUGCGCUCAAGACUUUGCUCUAGCUCUUUGCAGCACCUCUCCACUCUCUAAAGGCUUAUAACUUUGCCUUCACACAAACUAGAGAGAUAUACAUUAGAGUGAGAGAGAGAAUCGAUCUGAGUGAUGUAUACAAUUGUUGGUUGCACUUGUGUGCUUGUUGGAGGCGCCUAGGAGUCCCUUUUAUAGACCCAAGGGGCCUAGGAGCCGUUGGAAUUCAUUUUGGAAGACAAUAUUUGCUUUCUAUCGGGUAGCAUGUCCAGUGCACGAUCUCCUUCCAAAACAAGCUCAACUGACCAUUGGAGCAACGUUUGACUUGGCUCACCGGACACUGUCCGGUGCACACCGGACAGUCCGGUGCGCCAACUAUCCGUUGGCCCAAGCCACACGUCGCCCGCUGAUCGCGCUGCCGACCGUUGGCUCACCGGACAGUCCGGUGAAUUAUAGCCGUACGUCACCAAACUUCUCCCGAGAGCGGCCUGUUCACCGGAGUUCAGUCUGGCGCACCGGACACAGUCCGGUGUGCCAGACUGAGCAGAGACAUGGUUGUACAUAGCCAAGUCUUUUGCAUCUCUUUUCUUUUCUUCUUUUCUCUGUUUCUAACACUUAGACAAAUAUAUUAGUACACACAAACCAAUGUACUAAGUCUAGAAACAUACCUUCUCUUUGAUUUUCACUUCUUCAGCAUUUGGCAUAAUUGAGAUUGAUGUUGGACUCAUAAAUCAUCAAGUCAACUUUACUUGAUCUAGAUUGACAUUUCUGAGCUCCAACAUCCUGCAAAGGUCACAUAGAAUAUCUUCAAACUAGGAACAACCCAAACUAGAGAUCAAGGUGCACUAAGCUCUUUUGGGCUUCUUCCAGUUAUGGUUUUGACACAGCUUCUCCUUUCAGUGACCUUGUUCACUUCUUGAGCUUGAUCUUGAGCCUUAUGACUUAAGCCACAUAAUUGUAGAUGUUACCUCAUUGGUUGUAAGUCAUGUCCUUAUGUAGUGUUCACUGAUGCACCAUAACUUUUCUUAACUCGAUCAACCUUGAUUCCGCAAGUCUUCUUCUUCACCCCUGGCCUUGGGUUCCUGGUCUCCUUGACUUUCUCCCAUGCACUCGGUACCUCGAAGCUCUUCUUGCUUCCAUCCUUGGCUUGAUCGGUUGUCUCUGAGUUAUGCACCUCGAGUCACACUUAAGCAAUGCCCAUCCUUCUUGUGAUGUCCAUUAUCUAUAAAUAGUUCAGUCUUUGGACCAUCACACUUGUUCACUUGUGUUGGACCAUAUUAGCUUUACAUAAAGCACCUAUUCAACACUUAGCACACUUGUUAGUCCUUUAAUUGGGUUGUCAUCUAAACACCAAAACUCACAAGAGAGCUUUCACAAACCCACUCAAAUAAUAUUUAGAUUUGGGUUGUUUAGUUGUAAAAGUGAAGACCCAAGAUAAAAGUACCAAUUGUCCAAUGACAUUCGAUUAUUUUGCUCGGGGAGCACUUGGUGCGUCAUUUGGACUCGUAUCUUAGUCCAAUAGAUUGCAUUUUCCUUCAAUGUGUAGAAUCUGACAAAGUGCAUGUUCUAAAAUUGUAAAUCUAACUAAAUUAGAAAGCUUGUUACUAAUUUGAUGGUUUAUUAGGUGUAGCUCAUAAAACUAGAACCAACAUAGCCUGCACUCACAUGUCAUAGAAAAUAGGAGUAUCCAAGCACAAUUUGUGUGAGCAUCCAUGACACAAAUUAUAUAUAGACUGAUAUAAUUAAUUCCUUAAAAAAAGAAAAAGGAAAAAAUAAAGUGGUUUUUGAUACUGCAGGAUAUCUCCUUUAGAUAAUGAGGAGUACUAAAAAGAUGUUGCACUUUUGGGUGGCGAGAAUUCCUCAAUCACAUAUAUAUCAUCAUAUCUUAAUUAUUAAAUUAAUAUGGUUCCAUCAUCGUAUUAUUAAUUCAAUUUGAUAUAACCAUCAUAUCUUAAUUAUUAAAUUAAUCUGGAGCGUAGAGUAGAUUAUCAAACCAAAUCAACCCGACAUAACCAUCGAAUGUUCUGCUAUGCACAAUAAGCGCAUGGUCCGGGGCUUAAUCAUCUGGAAUAACCAUCAGAUCUUCUAGUAUCUUCUAGUAAGCAUAGUAAGCGUAUGGUUCACGGCUUCGUCAUCCGGAAUAACCAUCAGAUUUUCCAGUAUGCACUGAAAGCAAAUGAUCUGGGGUUUUGGUAGGUGAAACGUUGUUAGGUGAAUGCGGAUGCUGGCUGCUGUUGCACGUGCGAACUGCUGUGUGCAAGUUGCUGGAUCCUCCUCUAUUGUGCGUGGCUUGUGGCGGGCUUGGACUACUCUCAUGGCUUCGGCUCUUGGAACUGCUCGUCCGUCCUGCCCUGCGUGCAUCUCUCUCUCUCCUGGCUGGAGGCGUGCUGGCCUAGUGGCUUCUCUGUGUUUUUCUUUUUACGGCGGCUUCUCAUGUUGGCUAGGGUUGGCGUCAGGGGCCCGGUCAGCUAUGCUCCCUCAGCUUUUAUAGGCAACGCACCACAGCAGGAAGAGCAGAGAUAAAGAUUCCAAGUGCAUCCAUCUACAAACAAGGCUCUCGGUGGAAGGGAUAAAAGCAUGCAGCGCAAUUGCCGCUGCCCUGCUGCAGCCUUGACUCUCGUCAAUUGGAUGACCAAAAGAUGCCACCGUCUAAGCUCUUUUCUUUUGUGCAGCUGCCUGUUUGUCACCAACACAAAAUUGUAGGUGCCUGUUUGUCACCAAUUAUCCUCUACCACAAAGAACAACAAUAGUGAUGGAGGAUCCGAUCCGGCGCAGAUCCACUAUAAUGCAUAGUGGGUGAUGCAUGCCUAAUGGUGGUUGUUUAGUGUUAGUUUGGUCAUGUUGGAACUAAGCAAUUGUCGAUGCCAUACACUAGAAGUGAAGAAUGUUGUUAGCGUUAGGAGUAGACGUGUCAAUGGGGACCGAUACCCGUUAAGCCAUGGAGAAUUUCUCUAUAAGAUUUAGGGUAUGGGAAGAUUUUAAUUUCCAUUUGCUGAAGUUAGGUAUACAUCUAUUUGAACCAACAAUUACAGUUCAACAGAAACUCCUUCCGCUCUAGUUUGUUGUGUGUCCUACCUUUUUCCUAAACUAGUUUUUCCUAAAUUGACAUACUCUCUAGAAAAUCUAUCCAAAUUUUGAAGAUCAAAUCUGUUCCAUUGAAUUAUUCAUGACAUAUAUCUUGGUAUUGCUUUUUGUCAUCAGAAUAUAUUUUGAACUCAUUAAAAGUUAUACACGAUUUUUUUAGACAAUACUAAAGCAAGAUGUAAUUAAGAACACUUGAGGUGUGCGCCAAUUGCCACAUUUAGAUAUAAUCAUUCAAAUUUUGGUCAUCAUAUGUGUGUGCAUUGAUCUAUGCAUUCUAGGAUUUCAAUUAGUCUCAAUCUUGUAGUAUUUGUUCCUUCAUUGUCAAAUCACUUCUCAUCUAACUACUAUGCUUGUUUAACCAUCAGAACAUAACUACAACAAUAUCCAUUUAUAAAGGUUUUGAUAGCAAACUUUACAUAUUCAUAUCAUGUUAAGGUUGUCACAUGUGUAAAGGUGAAGAGAUCAUGCAUGUCAUUCCACGUAGAUGAAAAGAAUUCCUAUAUAAAAUGACACCUUUUCUUGUAGGUAGUGGAAAGUAUCUUUCCAGCAAAGACCAUAUAAUCCGAUAAAGUUGAUAACUAAAUGUCAAAAUAGAGUAGAUGCCAUAUCAUCUAUACCUUAUCUGUUGUUUGGAAAAAGACUAAAUCCAAAAAAUAUAUAUGAGAUCUCACUUGUAUAAAUAGCUCCCAAAUCAGUAGUUAACCAUCACCCAUAAUAUUUUGAGCAUUCAGAAACACACCUAGCGAAGCGCACUAGCAACGACCUAACAACAAUGGCUACCAAGAUAUUAUCCCUCUUUGCGCUUCUUGCCCUUUUUGUGAGCGCAACAAAUGCGUUCAUUAUUCCACAAUGCUCACUUGCUCCUAGUGCCAUUAUUCCACAGUUCCUCCCUCCAGUUACUUCAAUGGGCUUCGAACACCCAGCUGUGCAAGCCUACAGGCUACAACAAGCGCUUGCGGCGAGCGUCUUACAACAACCAAUUGCCCAAUUACAACAACAAUCCUUGGCACAUCUAACCAUACAAACCAUCGCAACGCAACAGCAACAACAAUUUCUACCAGCACUGAGCCAACUAGCUGUGGUGAACCCUGUCGCCUACUUGCAACAGCAGUUGCUUGCAUCCAACCCACUUGCUCUGGCAAACAUAGUUGCAUACCAACAACAACAACAAUUGCAACAGUUUCUACCAGCGCUCAGUCAACUAGCCAUGGUGAACCCUGCCGCCUACCUACAACAGCAACAACUGAUUUCAUCUAGCCCUCUCGCUGUGGUUAAUGCACCUACAUACCUGCAACAACAGUUGCUGCAACAGAUUGUACCAGCUCUGACUCAGCUAGCUGUGGCAAACCCUGCUGCCUACUUGCAACAGCUGCUUCCAUUCAACCAACUGACUGUGUCGAACUCUGCUGCGUACCUACAACAGCGACAACAGUUACUUAAUCCACUAGCGGUGGCUAACCCAUUGGUCGUUGCCUUCCUACAGCAGCAACAAUUGCUGCCAUACAACCAGUUCUCUUUGAUGAACCCUGCCUUGUUGUGGCAGCAACCCAUCGUUGGAGGUGCCAUCUUUUAGAUUACAUAUGAGAUGUACUCGAUAAUGGUGCCCUCAUAGCGGCAUGUGUUUCCUAGAAAUAAUCAAUAUAUUGAUUGAGAUUUAUCUCGAUAUAUUUCUAAACUAUGUUCAUCAUAUAAAUAAUUGAUAAUUGAAAACAUCAAAUCGUAAUUAUAAACUUAUGCUUGGUCGAUACAUAAACAAUAAAAUAUUACUUCAUCAUCCCAAUGAUGUCCUAGCCCAACCUCUUGAAUGUUAUAGUUUGGGUGUGUGCGGGUGUAUUUAUAAGAUAGAUGUGACUAUUUGCGCUUUUUGUUGAGUACAUACAUAUAUGGUAUGUUGAUUUGAUAUAGUGAUGGACACAUGCUUUGACCAUGAAUAUUCAAAUCGGUUGUACUUGCACGAAGCAAAACAUAAUAUUAGUUUAGGAGUAAACUUAUAACUGCGUCCAAACAUGCUCACACAAAUUCAUACCACAUUAUAAUUUUUUGGUAAGUAUUCCACACAUAUUUUUUUACAAGAACCCAAAUUUUGCACACAAAUGUACCAUUCUAGACAUGUAUAAUUCUUUGAAGCCCGUGAACUUAACAGCACCAAGGUCAUUAAAUCAAUUGGACCCUAUGAGUAACAAUUUCGAUAUCGCAAACACCAAAUUAUGGAACUUAUUGGCUGAAAAAAUUAUGAUCAAUGUAAAGUUUAAAUUAUUAUACCAAAAAUAUAUCAAAGAACUUUUUUGAGGAACGUAAAAAUUGCAUGGAAUGGGCUGCCUAACGUGCUAGCUCACUUUUAUGCUAGGUAGCAUUACUAAAGAUGGGAAUGUUGUUGAUGAACGCCAAACCCACUCAAAUAAUAUUUAUAUUUGGGUUGUUUAGUUGUAAAAGUGAAGAUCCAAGAUUAAAAUACCAAUUGGCCAAUGCCAUUCGAUUGUUUUGUUUAGAGAGCACUUGGUGCGUCAUUUGGACUCGUAUCUUAGUCCAAUAGAUUGCUUUUUAUUUCAAUGUGUAGAAUCCGACAAAGUGCAUGUUCUAAAAUUGUAAAUCUAACUAAAUUAGAAAGCUUGUUACUAAUUCGAUGGUUUAUUACGUGUAGCUCAUAAAACUAGAACCAACAUAGGCUGCACUCACAUGUCAUAGAAAAUAGGAGUAUCCAAGCACAAUUUGUGUGAGCAUCCAUGACACAAAUCAUAUAUAGACUGAUACAAUUAAUUCCUUCAAGAAUAAAAAAGGAAAAAAUAAAGUGUUUUUGGAUACUGCUGGAUAUCUCCUUUAGCUAAUCAUGAGUACUAAAAAGAUGUUGCACUUUUGGGUGGCGAGAAUUCCUCAAUCAUAACUUUGACAUAAUUUUAAUCCAGAUCACAUAUAUAUAUCAUCAUAUCUUAAUUAUUAAAUUAAUAUGGUAUGCAUCAUUGGAUUAUUAACUCAAUCCGGUAUAACCAUCGGAUCUUAAUUAUUAGAUUAAUCUGAAGCGUACAUUAGAUUAUCAAACCAAAUCAACCCGAUAUAACCAUCGAAUGUUCCUCUAUGCACCUUAAGCGCAUGGUCUCAGGCUUAAUCAUCCGGAAUAACCAUCUAAUCUUCUGGUAAGCAUAGUAAGUGUAUGGUUCACGGUUUCGUCAUUCGGAAUAACCAUCAGAUUUUCCAAUAUGCACUGAAAGUGUAUGAUCCGGGGUUUUGGCAGGCGAAACGUUGUUACGUGAUUGUGAAUGCUAGCUGCAGUUGCACGUGUGAUCUACUGUGUGGAAGCUGCUGGGUCCUCGUCUGUUGCGUGUGGCUUGUGGCGGGCUUGGACUGCUCUCAUGGCUUCGGUGCUUGGUGCUGCUCGUUCGUCCGGUCCUACGUGCAUCUCUCUCUCCUGGUUGGAGGCGUGGUGGCCUGGCGGUUUCUCUAUGUUUUUCUUUUUGCUACGGCUUCUCGUGUUGGCUUGGCUUGGCGUCAGGGUCCCGGUCAGCUAUGCUCCCUCAGCUUUUAUAGGUACGCAGCACAACAGGCAGAGCAGAGAUAAAGAUUCCAACGGCAUCCAUCUACAAACAAGGCUCUCGGCAGAAGGGAUAAAAGCAUGCAGCGCAAUUGUCGCUGCCUUGCUGGAGCCUUGACUCUCGUCAAUUGGUUGAUCAAAAGUGGCCACUGUCUAAGCUAUUUUCUUUGUGCACCUGUUUGUUUGUAUCGAACACAAAAUUGUAGGUGCAUGUUUGUCACCAAUUAUCCUCUACUACAAAGAACUACAAUAGUGAUGGAGGAUCCGAUCCGGCACAAAUCCACUAUAAUGCAUAGUGGGUGAUGCAUGCCUAAUGGUGGUUGUUUAGUAUUAGUUUGGGCAUGUUAAAACUAAGCAAUUGUCGAUGUCAUACACUAGAAGUGAAGAAUGUUGUUAGCGUUAGUAGUAGAGGUGUCAAAUGGGACCGAUACCCGUUCAGCCAAGGAGAAUUUCUCUAUUAGAUUUAGGGUAUGGGAAGAUUUUAGUUUCCAUUUGCUGAUUUUAGGCAUACAUCUAUUUGAUUCAACAGUUACAAAUCAACAUAUACUCCUUCCGCUCUAGUUUGUUGCAUGUCCUACCUUUUUCCUAAAUCAGUUUUUCCUAAAAUGACAUACUCUCUAGAAAAUCUAUCCAAAUUUUGAAGAUCAAAUAUGUCCCAUUGAAUUAUUCAUAACAUAUAUCUUGGUAUUGCUUUUUGUCAUCAGAAUAUAUUUUGAACUCAGUAAAAGUUAUACACGAUUCUUUUUAGACAAUACUAAAGCAAGUUGUAAUCAAGAACACUUGAGGUGUGCGCCAAUUGCCACAUUUAGAUAUAAUCAUUCUAAUUUUGGUCAUCCUAUGUGUGUGCAUUCAUCUAUGCAUUCUAGGAUUUCAAUUAGUCUCAAUCUUGUAGUAUUUGUUCCUUCAUUGUCAAAUCACUUCUCAUCUAACUACUAUGCUUGUUUAACCAUCAGAACAUAAGUACAACAAUAUCCAUUUAUAAAGGCUUUUAUAGCAAACUUUACAUAUCAUAUUAUGUUAAGGUUGUCACAUGUGUAAAGGUGAAGAGAUCAUGCAUUUCAUUCCACGUAGAUAAAAAGAGUUCCUAUAUAAGAAUGGCACAUUUUCUUGUAGGUAGUGGAAAGUAUCUUUCCAGCAAAUACCAUAUAAUCCGAUAAAGAUGAUAACUAAAUGUCGAAAUCGAGUAGAUGCCAUAUCAUCUAUAUCUUAUCUGUUGUUUGGAAAAAAAGACAAAAUCCAACAAAAAUAUUCGAGACCUCACCUAUAUAAAUAGCUCCCAUAUCAGUAGUUAAUCCAUCACCCAUAAUAUUUUGAGCAUUCAGAAACACACCAAGCGAAGCUCACUAGCAACGACCUAACAACAAUGGCUACCAAGAUAUUAGCCCUCCUUGCGCUUCUUGCCCUUUUUGUGAGCGCAACAAAUGCGUUCAUUAUUCCACAAUGCUCACUUGCUCCUAGUGCCAUUAUUCCACAGUUCCUCCCACCAGUUACUUCAAUGGGCUUCGAACACCUAGCUGUGCAAGCCUACAUGCUACAACAAGCGCUUGCGGCGAGCGUCUUACAACAACCAAUUGACCAAUUGCAACAACAAUCCUUGGCACAUCUAACCAUACAAACCAUCGCAACGCAACAGCAACAACAGUUCCUACCAGCACUGAGCCAACUAGCUGUGGUGAACCCUAUCGCCUACUUGCAAUAGCAGAUGCUUGCAUCCAACCCACUUGCUCUGGCAAAUGUAGCUACAUACCAACAACAACAAUUGCAACAGUUUCUACCAGCGCUUAGUCAACUAGCCAUGGUGAACCCUGCCGCCUACCUACAACAGCAACAACUGCUUUCAUCUAGCCCUCUCGCUAUGGUUAAUGCACCUACAUACCUGCAACAACAGUUGUUGCAACAGAUUGUACCAGCUCUGACUCAGCUAGCUGUGGCAAACCCUGCUGCCUACUUGCAACAGCUGCUUCCAUUCAACCAACUGACUGUGUCGAACUCUGCUGCGUAC